rnacentral:rRNA from 1 species
GACGAACGCUGGCGGCGUGCUUAACACAUGCAAGUCGAACGGUGAUGCUCCAGCUUGCUGGAGUGGAUCAGUGGCGAACGGGUGAGUAACACGUGAGCAACCUGCCCCAGACUCUGGAAUAAGCGCUGGAAACGGCGUCUAAUACUGGAUACGAAACUGGCCCGCAUGGGCAUGGUUUGGAAAGUUUUUCGGUUUGGGAUGGGCUCGCGGCCUAUCAGCUUGUUGGUGAGGUAAUGGCUCACCAAGGCGACGACGGGUAGCCGGCCUGAGAGGGCGACCGGCCACACUGGGACUGAGACACGGCCCAGACUCCUACGGGAGGCAGCAGUGGGGAAUAUUGCACAAUGGGCGAAAGCCUGAUGCAGCGACGCCGCGUGAGGGAUGACGGCCUUCGGGUUGUAAACCUCUUUCAGCAGGGAAGAUAAUGACGGUACCAGCAGAAGAAGCCCCGGCUAACUCCGUG